rnacentral:rRNA from 1 species
GUGAAAGCCCGGGGCUCAACUCCGGGACUGCGUUUGAAACUGUGUGACUGGAGUGCAGGAGAGGCAGGCGGAAUUCCUAGUGUAGCGGUGAAAUGCGUAGAUAUUAGGAGGAACACCAGUGGCGAAGGCGGCCUGCUGGACUGUAACUGACGUUGAGGCUCGAAGGCGUGGGGAGCAAACAGG